rnacentral:rRNA from 1 species
GAUGAAUGCUGGCGGCGUGCCUAACACAUGCAAGUCGAGCGGUAAGGCCCUUCGGGGUACACGAGCGGCGGACGGCUGAGUAACGCGUGGGAAUUUGCCCCAAAGUGAGGAAUAACUGCCCGAAAGGGUAGCUAAUGCCGCAUAUGGUCUUCGGAUUAAAGGAUUUAUCCGCUUUGGGAGAAGCCCGCGUUGGAUUAGGUAGUUGGUGAGAUAAAAGCUCACCAAGCCAACGAUCCAUAGCUGGUCUGAGAGGAUGACCAGCCAGACUGGAACUGAGACACGGUCCAGACUCCUACGGGAGGCAGCAGUGAGGAAUCUUCCACAAUGGGCGAAAGCCUGAUGGAGCAACGCCGCGUGCAGGAUGAAGGCAUUCGGGUUGUAAACUGCUUUUAUGAGUGAAGAAUAUGACGGUAACUCAUGAAUAAGCACCGGCUAACUACGUGCCAGCCGCCGCGGUAA